rnacentral:rRNA from 1 species
GAUGAACGCUGGCGGCGUGCAUAACACAUUCAAGUCGAACGGAGUUAUUCGGAUUAAUCCUUCGGGAAGCGUUUGAGUAACUUAGUGGCGGACGGGUGAGUAACGCGUGAGCAACCUGCCUCUAUGUGGGGGAUAACGUCGGGAAACUGACGCUAAUACCUCAUGACACAUAUUUGCCGCAUGACAGAUAUGUCAAAGAUUUAUUGCAUAGAGAUGGGCUCGCGUCUGAUUAGAUAGUUGGUAAGGUAACGGCUUACCAAGUCUGCGAUCAGUAGCCGGACUGAGAGGUUGAACGGCCACAUUGGAACUGAGAUACGGUCCAGACUCCUACGGGAGGCAGCAGUGGGGAAUAUUGGGCAAUGGGCGAAAGCCUGACCCAGCGACGCCGCGUGAGGAAGAAGGUCUCGGAUUGUAAACCUUUGUUGACAGGGAAGAAUAAAGUGACGGUACCUGUCGAGGAAGCC